UACAGAGGUCUCAAGCGUUGUUCGGAUUCAUUGGGCGUAAAGGGUGCGUAGGCGGCGCGGUAAGUCGGGUGUGAAAUCUCGGAGCUUAACUCCGAAACUGCAUUCGAUACUGCCGUGCUUGAGGACUGGAGAGGAGACUGGAAUUUACGGUGUAGCGGUGAAAUUCGUAGAUAUCGGGAGGAACACCGGUGGCGAAGGCGGCGAUCUGGGUAGAUACUGACGCUGAGGUGCGAAGCGUGGGGAGCAAACAGG
rnacentral:rRNA from 1 species